rnacentral:rRNA from 1 species
AGAGUUUGAUCAUGGCUCAGAUUGAACGCUGGCGGCAGGCCUAACACAUGCAAGUCGAACGGUAGCACAGAGAGCUUGCUCUCGGGUGACGAGUGGCGGACGGGUGAGUAAUGUCUGGGAAACUGCCUGAUGGAGGGGGAUAACUACUGGAAACGGUGGCUAAUACCGCAUAACGUCGCAAGACCAAAGAGGGGGACCUUCGGGCCUCUUGCCAUCAGAUGUGCCCAGAUGGGAUUAGCUAGUUGGUGAGGUAACGGCUCACCAAGGCGACGAUCCCUAGCUGGUCUGAGAGGAUGACCAGCCACACUGGAACUGAGACACGGUCCAGACUCCUACGGGAGGCAGCAGUGGGGAAUAUUGCACAAUGGGCGCAAGCCUGAUGCAGCCAUGCCGCGUGUAUGAAGAAGGCCUUCGGGUUGUAAAGUACUUUCAGCGGGGAGGAAGGUGUUGUGGUUAAUAACCGCAGCAAUUGACGUUACCCGCAGAAGAAGCACCGGCUAACUCCGUGCCAGCAGCCGCGGUAAUACGGAGGGUGCAAGCGUUAAUCGGAAUUACUGGGCGUAAAGCGCACGCAGGCGGUCUGUCAAGUCGGAUGUGAAAUCCCCGGGCUCAACCUGGGAACUGCAUUCGAAACUGGCAGGCUUGAGUCUUGUAGAGGGGGGUAGAAUUCCAGGUGUAGCGGUGAAAUGCGUAGAGAUCUGGAGGAAUACCGGUGGCGAAGGCGGCCCCCUGGACAAAGACUGACGCUCAGGUGCGAAAGCGUGGGGAGCAAACAGGAUUAGAUACCCUGGUAGUCCACGCCGUAAACGAUGUCUACUUGGAGGUUGUGCCCUUGAGGCGUGGCUUCCGGAGCUAACGCGUUAAGUAGACCGCCUGGGGAGUACGGCCGCAAGGUUAAAACUCAAAUGAAUUGACGGGGGCCCGCACAAGCGGUGGAGCAUGUGGUUUAAUUCGAUGCAACGCGAAGAACCUUACCUGGUCUUGACAUCCACAGAACUUUCCAGAGAUGGAUUGGUGCCUUCGGGAACUGUGAGACAGGUGCUGCAUGGCUGUCGUCAGCUCGUGUUGUGAAAUGUUGGUUAAGUCCCGCAACGAGCGCAACCCUUAUCCUUUGUUGCCAGCGGUCCGGCCGGGAACUCAAAGGAGACUGCCAGUGAUAAACUGGAGGAAGGUGGGGAUGACGUCAAGUCAUCAUGGCCCUUACGACCAGGGCUACACACGUGCUACAAUGGCGCAUACAAAGAGAAGCGACCUCGCGAGAGCAAGCGGACCUCAUAAAGUGCGUCGUAGUCCGGAUUGGAGUCUGCAACUCGACUCCAUGAAGUCGGAAUCGCUAGUAAUCGUGGAUCAGAAUGCCACGGUGAAUACGUUCCCGGGCCUUGUACACACCGCCCGUCACACCAUGGGAGUGGGUUGCAAAAGAAGUAGGUAGCUUAACCUUCGGGAGGGCGCUUACCACUUUGUGAUUCAUGACUGGGGUGAAGUCGUAACAAGGUAACCGUAGGGGAACCUGCGGUUGGAUCACCU